rnacentral:rRNA from 1 species
GACGAACGCUGGCGGCGUGCUUAACACAUGCAAGUCGAACGGAAAGGCCCUGCUUUUGUGGGGUGCUCGAGUGGCGAACGGGUGAGUAACACGUGAGUAACCUGCCCUUGACUUUGGGAUAACUUCAGGAAACUGGGGCUAAUACCGGAUAGGAGCUCCUGCUGCAUGGUGGGGGUUGGAAAGUUUCGGCGGUAGGGGAUGGACUCGCGGCUUAUCAGCUUGUUGGUGGGGUAGUGGCUUACCAAGGCUUUGACGGGUAGCCGGCCUGAGAGGGUGACCGGCCACAAUGGGACUGAGAUACGGCCCAGACUGCUACGGGAGGCAGCAGUGGGGAAUAUUACACAAUGGGCGGAAGCCUGAUGCAGCAACGCCGCGUGCGGGAUGACGGCCUUCGGGUUGUGAACCGCUUUCGCCUGUGACGAAGCGUGAGUGACGGUAAUGGGUAAAGAAGCACCGGCUAACUACGUG